rnacentral:rRNA from 1 species
CAGCCGCCGCGGGAAGACGUAGGAUGCGAGCGUUGUCCGGAUUUAUUGGGCGUAAAGAGUUCGUAGGUGGUUUGUCAAGUCUGAUGUUAAAGAUCGGGGCUCAACCCUGGGACUGCAUUGGAUACUGGCGAUCUUGAGUCCGGGAGAGGUGAGUGGAACUGCGAGUGUAGAGGUGAAAUUCGUAGAUAUUCGCAAGAACACCGGUGGCGAAGGCGGCUCACUGGCCCGGAACUGACGCUGAGGCACGAAAGCGUGGGGAGCAAACAGGAUUAGAUACCCCGGUAGUCCCUGUCUCUUAUAC